ensembl:lncRNA
UCAUCAUUGCAGCAGCACCAGCUUCAUAAGACAGCAAAGGACAGGCUGAAAGAACGACACAGGGAACAUGGCAGACUCCUACCAUCCGGCUUGGGAUGUGAGCCUGCCUCAGCGAGAGCAGCGGGGGGAGGAGCCCCAAACCAGCCAGCCACUUGGGGUGGAGUCACAGUACUCCGUCCACGACAACCGCGAUGCUCUGAACACCAGCAUUUACAUGUUUGAUGGGGGUCUGGGCCGUAGGAAGUGUCCAGAGCGUCGGCAGCAUAACUCUCAUUUCUGGCUGUGCCACAUGGGCGUCCCCGGGGCAGUGGGCAGCGACUCUUCAGCCUACCAGACUGACUUCCUGCCCCCCGAACAGGAAGUGGAGGCAACACAGAGCCGGCGCUUUCCCAGAAGCCACCAGAAGCGCAGCAACAUGGCGGCUGCAGCCCUGAAGCAGCAGGAGCCCUUCUUCUGGUUCGGCCGCCACAACGCCACACACACACACUCACGCACCCCUGCACGUUCUCACUGCCAUCAACAAUCCAGCCACAACAUCAUAGCCUUGCUGCACUCAGAACAAGACUAGAACCAUCAUCACCAUCAUCAUCAUCAUCAAAUCCAUCAUAAUCAUCAUCAUCAUCACCUAGACCCCUCCACGCUUAACAGCUUUAGACCACAACAGUCGUCAUUUAUUCCAUGUUUUUCAUCAUC